rnacentral:rRNA from 1 species
AUUGAACGCUGGCGGCAUGCCUUACACAUGCAAGUCGAACGGCAGCACGGGAGCAAUCCUGGUGGCGAGUGGCGAACGGGUGAGUAAUACAUCGGAACGUGCCCAAUCGUGGGGGAUAACGCAGCGAAAGCUGUGCUAAUACCGCAUACGAUCUACGGAUGAAAGCAGGGGAUCGCAAGACCUUGCGCGAAUGGAGCGGCCGAUGGCAGAUUAGGUAGUUGGUGAGGUAAAGGCUCACCAAGCCGUCGAUCUGUAGCUGGUCUGAGAGGACGACCAGCUACACUGGGACUGAGACACGGCCCAGACUCCUACGGGAGGCAGCAGUGGGGAAUUUUGGACAAUGGGCGAAAGCCUGAUCCAGCCAUGCCGCGUGCAGGAUGAAGGCCUUCGGGUUGUAAACUGCUUUUGUACGGAACGAAACGGCCUUUUCUAAUAAAGAGGGCUAAUGACGGUACCGUAAGAAUAAGCACCGGCUAACUACGUGCCAGCAGCCGCGGUAAUACGUAGGGUGCAAGCGUUAAUCGGAAUUACUGGGCGUAAAGCGUGCGCAGGCGGUUAUGUAAGACAGUUGUGAAAUCCCCGGGCUCAACCUGGGAACUGCAUCUGUGACUGCAUAGCUAGAGUACGGUAGAGGGGGAUGGAAUUCCGCGUGUAGCAGUGAAAUGCGUAGAUAUGCGGAGGAACACCGAUGGCGAAGGCAAUCCCCUGGACCUGUACUGACGCUCAUGCACGAAAGCGUGGGGAGCAAACAGG